CCAGCAGCUGCGGUAAUUCCAGCUCCAAUAGCAUAUAUUAAAGUUGUUGCAGUUAAAAAGCUCGUAGUUGGAUUUCUGGCAUGAUGCGCCUGGCCCUGCGUGAUUAUGCGUGUGUGUGCUAGUGCGCGUCUGCCAUCCAUUUGCAGAAUAUGUCUACCCUUAAUUGGGCCGGAUAUGUGAUGUAAAUCUUUUACUUUGAAAAAAUUAGAGUGUUUAAAGCAGGCAUUUGCUAUGAAUACAUUAGCAUGGAAUAAUAAUCUAGGACUUCGGUUCUAUUUUGUUGGUUUCUAGAUCUGGAGUAAUGAUUGAUAGGGAUAGUUGGGGGUGCUAGUAUUAAGGGGCCAGAGGUGAAAUUCUUGGAUUCUCUUAAGACUAACUUAUGCGAAAGCAUUCACCAAGGAUGUCUUCUUUAAUCAAGAACGAAAGU
rnacentral:rRNA from 1 species